rnacentral:rRNA from 1 species
AGUGAACGCUGGCGGUAGGCCUAACACAUGCAAGUCGAACGGCAGCACAGUGAUAGCUUGCUCUUACGGGUUGCGAGUGGCGGACGGGUGAGGAAUACAUCGGAAUCUACUUUUUCGUGGGGGUUAACGUAGGGAGACUUAAGCUAAUACCGCAUACGACCUACGGGUGAAAGCAUGGGAUCUUCGGACCUUUCGCGGUUGGAUGAGCCGAUGUCGGAUUAGCUAGUUGGCGGGGUAAAGGCCCACCAAGGCGACGAUCCGUAGCUGGUCUGAGAGGAUGGUAGGCGACCCUGGAGGUGAGCCAGCGACAUGAGUACUGAGGUAGGCAGCAGUCGGGAACAUUGGACAAUGGUGGCAAGCAUGAUCCAGUCAUACGGAGUGGGUGAAGAAGGCGUUCGGUUCGGAAAGCCCUUUUGCUGGGAAAGAAAAGCAGCAGGUUAAUACGACGCGUGUCUGACGGUAACCAAAGAAUAAGCACCGGCUAACUUCGUG